rnacentral:tRNA from 1 species
GAAUUUUAAGUUAUAUAAACUGAAAGCCUUCAAAGCUUUUUAAAAAAGUAUCAAUCUUUUAAAUUCUA